AGAAGGGACAACUUCCAUCGGGAAGCAGA
rnacentral:sRNA from 1 species